rnacentral:rRNA from 1 species
AGUGAACGCUGGCGGUAGGCCUAACACAUGCAAGUCGAACGGCAGCACAGUAAGAGCUUGCUCUUACGGGUGGCGAGUGGCGGACGGGUGAGGAAUACAUCGGAAUCUACUUUUUCGUGGGGGAUAACGUAGGGAAACUUACGCUAAUACCGCAUACGACCUACGGGUGAAAGCAGGGGAUCUUCGGACCUUGCGCGAUUGAAUGAGCCGAUGUCGGAUUAGCUAGUUGGCGGGGUAAAGGCCCACCAAGGCGACGAUCCGUAGCUGGUCUGAGAGGAUGAUCAGCCACACUGGAACUGAGACACGGUCCAGACUCCUACGGGAGGCAGCAGUGGGGAAUAUUGGACAAAGCGCGCAAGCCUGAUCCAGCCAUACCGCGUGGGUGAAGAAGGCCUUCGGGUUGUAAAGCCCUUUUGUUGGGAAAGAAAAGCAGCAGGUUAAUACCCCGCUGUUCUGACGGUACCCAAAGAAUAAGCACCGGCUAACUUCGUG